rnacentral:lncRNA from 1 species
AGGGAUAUUUAUACCAUAUUCCAUCGGAGCAAAUCUUGACAGCAGAAAUAGCUCCGAAGUUGGUCACGUUCAGUGCAGAUGUACCCUUACAUCUCACCUGUAUGCCAUACCAGUGUCUCCACACUCAUUGGUUAAGAGGACAACCAACCUAUAUGGCAUACAAUGACCUAUGCUUGAUAAACGUUGUCGUCCUUAGUAAC